rnacentral:lncRNA from 1 species
GAAUUGAUCACUAUUCUCUGUGAUGAUCUUUUGAUCGGGAGAAUUUAGAAAUUAACCACUAAUUAAUGUAUAUCUCAAAUUCUUAACAAUAUAAGAAUAUACAAAAAUCAUAUUUGUUAAUUUUUAGGAUAAAUCAAGGAUACAUAAAUAUGAUUGGAAUGAAAAAACCUUUAUUGAUAAUAAAAAGUUUACAAGUAUAAG